AGAACUUUAAACAUACAUUUAAAUUUGUAUAUACAUUUUCAACACAUACUGGAAUAAAUGCUGUCAAUAAUGAUUACUCAUACCUAUGAAAUUGUAAAAAUGUCAGCUCAUAAUGGGGACAUUUCUUUAGAUUUUAAUUUCUUAUUUCAAUUGCAUAAGUUUUUAGGGCAAAUAAUUAUGUCUUAUCAUGCAUUUAUUGUUGUUUUUUUCCUUUUUAGAAUGGAACACUCUUAUGAUGAAAUUAUUUUCUUUUGUUUUGUUCAUUUAUCAAAUUUUGCAGAAGCAUGUGUGUAUAUUGUUUUGCGUACAAUUUCCUUCAUCUGUUACUAAAAUGAACAGUUUGGUGAUUGUUUUAUAUGAGUUAUUGCUCUGAAAAUUCUAUCAAUUUUCUGCAGUUAUAUUUUUUAUUCAUGACAUGCGUUUAUAUUUGGCUGAAUUGGGGAUAUGUACCAAGGCAUUUAUUGAGUAAUUUAAAUGUGUUUAUCCAGAUGUAAACCUUCAUCGUAAAAAAAGAGUAUUAAACAGUAGUCUUGGAAAACAGGGUGAUAUUCAGUUUAUUUUUAGCUUGACCUGAACAUAUUGUUUUGUAUAUGACUGUUUUGAAAAUGUGCUUUCCCAAGAAAAUGGAACGAAAGUUGACCAUAAAAAAAGACAAUAUAUUAGGAAAUUAACAAGAAGUCAACUGAAAACUUGAGAGCCUCAGAGACAAUGAAAAAACAAAUUAUUGGUUAGAGUUGAUUUUGUUUUGUCAAAAAGUUGAAAGGUCAAGGUAGCGACAGGUUGUGAUUAGAGUUAUAAAGCCAACUAAUAUGAGUAAAGGCAACAGUAGUAUAUUGAUGUUCAAAACUCAUGGUGUUGGAAAACUAUGUAUGAAAGGAAACUAAAUCUGCUUUCUUCCUUAAGUAGGUGUGAUAAAUGCUCAUGUUUUAUUGUCAGAAUGCAAUUAUUUUGUCCCAUUUAUGUUAACAUUAUUUUUAUACUAAUUUUUUUUGUUAUUUUAUUUAAUUUUCUUCCAUAAUUUUUAUGAUUUUUACAUUGACAGUGUGUGAUGAAUUUAUCGGUAAAGGUAGCGUAAUUUGGAGGGAAAAAGGAACUUUUUAUAUUAAUUGUUUAUAAUAAGAAUCUGGUUUUGUCAAUACAGUUCUGCUUGAAACUUUAAAAGAAAGUAUUGCAGAUGGUAAUAUAAAGUAUCAUUAUUUCUACAUCUUAGCUCGCUUGAAAGAGCAUAACUAUAAUAACAUUAUUAUUAUUGUUUUUAGGGAGCUUUUUUAAAAUAUGGAGGAAACUUGUUCAUUUGUUAAAAAUUUCAUCUGUAGAAUAUUGUUAUUUGUUACAAAGAUUCCAGAA
rnacentral:lncRNA from 1 species